GAUGAACGCUAGCUACAGGCUUAACACAUGCAAGUCGCGGGGCAGCAUUUCUUUAGCUUGCUAAGGAAGAUGGCGACCGGCGCACGGGUGAGUAACGCGUAUCCAACCUGCCCUUGUCCACGGGAUAACCCGGUGAAAACCGGCCUAAUACCGUAUGAGGUCACAAGCGGACAUCCAACUGUGACGAAAGGUUUUGCGGACAAGGAUGGGGAUGCGUCCGAUUAGCUUGACGGCGGGGUAACGGCUCACCAAGGCGACGAUCAGUAGGGGUUCUGAGAGGAAGGUCCCCACAUUGGAACUGAGACACGGUCCAAACUCCUACGGGAGGCAGCAGUGGGGAAGUAAUUUGGGCCGAAAUAGGGGCGGAAAAGACCUGA
rnacentral:rRNA from 1 species